CGCGGCCUAUCAGCUUGUUGGUGGGGUAACGGCCUACCAAGGCGACGACGGGUAGCCGGCCUGAGAGGGCGACCGGCCACACUGGGACUGAGACACGGCCCAGACUCCUACGGGAGGCAGCAGUGGGGAAUAUUGCGCAAUGGGCGAAAGCCCGACGCAGCGACGCCGCGUGGGGGAUGAAGGCCUUCGGGUUGUAAACCCCUUUCAGCAGGGACGAAGCGAAAGUGACGGUACCUGCAGAAGAAGCGCCGGCUAACUACGUGCCAGCAGCCGCGGUAACACGUAGGGCGCAAGCGUUGUCCGGAAUUAUUGGGCGUAAAGAGCUCGUAGGCGGUCUGUUGCGUCCGCUGUGAAAACUCGGGGCUUAACCCCGAGCCUGCAGUGGAUACGGGCAGACUAGAGGUAGGUAGGGGAGAAUGGAAUUCCCGGUGUAGCGGUGAAAUGCGCAGAUAUCGGGAGGAACACCGGUGGCGAAGGCGGUUCUCUGGGCCUUACCUGACGCUGAGGAGCAAAAGCGUGGGGAGCGAACAGGAUUAGAUACCCUGGUAGUCCACGCCGUAAACGUUGGGCGCUAGGUGUGGGAUCCUUCCACGGAUUCCGUGCCGCAGCUAACGCAUUAAGCGCCCCGCCUGGGGAGUACGG
rnacentral:rRNA from 1 species